AUCAGCUUUAUUCCACAAACACUCAGGGGCCAAAGUCUAUACUAAGAUUGUGGCUUUUCUGUAUAUUUGGACACGAAAGUAGAUUGAACUGGUGUGAAAUUUCCUGUGCUUCCAACAAUCUGACUCCGGUACCAGCAGCAUUCUUGAGAUGUUCCUGAACACCAGUCUCCACAUCUGGAUCCCUCUGCUCCUAGGAAAUCCUCCACUAGCCAAAGACCUGCUGCCCUGCAUCACUUUCCAACGAAGAUAUGAUUAUAUCUGGGGGGAGAUUACUCAGGUGUACGGAGGGGAACUACAGAUGCUUCCCUGCUUUCACUGCUCAUUACCUUCUUGUGGUUUGUGAGAGAGGAAUAUCACUGCUGAAAACCACAGAGGACUGUUAGAGGAUAUCAGGAUGUCCACAGAGAGGGGAGACUGAGAUCAAGA